rnacentral:lncRNA from 1 species
AACAAUAAAAUAUGGCUUAAUACAUGCUUUGGUCCCUUAACUUACUUUUGGAUUUCAUUUUGGUCCCCUAACUAUAAAGUGUCUCAAUUUGGUCCCAUAAAUCUUCUAUCGUUUACUAUUUUGGUCAUCUCCGUUAGAUUUUAACAUCAAAAAUCUAAGGUGAACCAUAUUUAAAGGUGGUUCACCAUAGACCGUAUUAAAUUUUU